AAGCAUGUGCUUAAAUGACUUGCUGAAUGGGGAGCUUCUUUGCCAGCUAUUUUAAUGAUCUGAAAGAAGAAGAUGUUUGUGUAUUUAUUGAGGUUGGAGAAUGUGGAAAGAAGGUCCUUCUCAUAAGGCAGGAGGAGCCAUGAGAUUGGAGGAGGAGCCAGGACAGAUGUACCCAGAUGGCGUUAGAAGUAUUUGGUUUCAUGGACAGGAUACAAUCACGGUCCAUUUGGCACAUAGACCCCAGCAGGCGACUUUUGCAGAUACAGUUUUAUGAUGUCUCUGCUGAUAUGAUCACGUCAGAGCUGGAGAGAAGAUUGAUGCUGUAUCUUUAAGAUUUCCAAGGAUUUGGAGCAUGUAGAUGUCACUUUAAAAGCACUGUCAUUUCCCG
rnacentral:lncRNA from 1 species